rnacentral:rRNA from 1 species
UUAUGUGAUCGUCUCUCGCAUAUCAAUAAGCGGAGGAAAAGAAACUAACAAGGAUUCCCCUAGUAACGGCGAGUGAAGCGGGAAGAGCUCAAAUUUGAAAUCUUAAAGGGUUUCCCUUUACGAAUUGUAGUUUAAAGAAGUGUUUUCUGUUGAGGUUUUGGUAAAAGUUCUUUGGAAUAGGACAUCAUAGAGGGUGAGAAUCCCGUAUUUGACCUUUACUUUCAACUUUGUGAUACACUUUCAAAGAGUCGGAUUGUUUGGGAAUGCAGUCCAAAAUGGGUGGUAAAUUUCAUCUAAAGCUAAAUAUUGGCGGAGACCGAUAGCGAACAAGUACCGUGAGGGAAAGAUGAAAAGAACUUUGAAAAGAGAGUUAAACAGUACGUGAAAUUGUCAAAAGGGAAGCGUUUGACACCAGUGUUGUUUUUCUGAAAAUCAAUUAAAGAACUGUUUAUGCUAAGUUGUUUAGACUUUAUCAGCUAACUGUUUAGUUUUGAGCUUUUCUUUAAUGCACUUUUCAGUUAACAAGUCAACAUCAAUUUCUUUUGCUGUAAAAAAGCUUGAGGAAGGUGGCUUGAGAUCCGUCUUAAGUGUUUAUAGCCUCUUGCCUAAGCAGUCGGAGAGAUUGAGGUCUGCAGCGUAGAUCCUUCGGGGCUAAAUGCAUUUGUGCUAAGUUAUAGCAUUUUAUAGACAACUUGUUGACUAUGAUUUGUCUUGUAGCUUACUCGCUUAUGUUAUUUUACCUACGCUUAGGAUGUUGAUCUACAGAGCGAGAGU